rnacentral:rRNA from 1 species
UGAGUAAUGUCUGGGAAACUGCCUGAUGGAGGGGGAUAACUACUGGAAACGGUAGCUAAUACCGCAUAACGUCGCAAGACCAAAGAGGGGGACCUUCGGGCCUCUUGCCAUCAGAUGUGCCCAGAUGGGAUUAGCUAGUUGGUGAGGUAAUGGCUCACCAAGGCGACGAUGCGUAGCCGACCUGAGAGGGUGAUCGGCCACAUUGGGACUGAGACACGGCCCAGACUCCUACGGGAGGCAGUAUG